CUAUCAGGUUACAAAAACAGCAUUUACAGUUUUAGAAGUGUUUAUUUCUUGCUAGCUUUUACAUAAUAUAUGAAUGAAUGAAGUCAGAACAGGAGAAAGAACCCUAUCUUUACUUUGUGUUGUUGUAUUUGAGUGUGAAAGAAGCUCUGUGCAGCAAUGUUAGCUUAGCUUAGCUGUGUGCUAAAACUGAGGGGAAAAAACAACAACCUGUGCAGCAACCAAUUUUUUAUUGGGGGGGGGGGGGGGUGUUUCCAAAAAUCAUAUGCAAUUAUUACAAAAUAAAACUAUGCACCAAGAUAUGAAAUAUGCACAUCUCCCUCCCAUAUCAACAGUAUAUACAUGCAAGUUCACUUUUUACCAAUUUAGGGAGAUGUUCCCAAUAGAAUCUUUAACCAGUACACCUGUAUAAUGCAGAUUUAUCUCCUAAAUGUUGUUUCAGGAGACUAGAAUUGUAAAAGCAAGAAAACAGACUGUGAAAACAUUCCAGCUUUCCUUGUGGCAAGUUUUGAUCUGGGAUUUAGGAUCACUGCCAGAAAACAUCUUAACUCCAUUAUCCCCACUUACUGCAUCCCAAAUCAUUUUUGGGGAAUAAGAGGUUUUAUUU